UACGUAGGGUGCAAGCGUUAAUCGGAAUUACUGGGCGUAAAGCGUGCGCAGGCGGUUAUGUAAGACAGUUGUGAAAUCCCCGGGCUCAACCUGGGAAUUGCAUCUGUGACUGCAUAGCUAGAGUACGGUAGAGGGGGGAUGGAAUUCCGCGUGUAGCAGUGAAAUGCGUAGAUAUGCGGAGGAACACCGAUGGCGAAGGCAAUCCCCUGGACCUGUACUGACGCUCAUGCACGAA
rnacentral:rRNA from 1 species